rnacentral:rRNA from 1 species
UACGGAGGGUGCAAGCGUUGUUCGGAAUUAUUGGGCGUAAAGGGCGUGUAGGCGGUUUUUUAAGUCUGAUGUGAAAGCCCCGGGCUCAACCUGGGAAGUGCAUUGGAAACUGGAAGACUUGGGUACGGGAGAGGGCAGUGGAAUUCCUGGUGGAGCGGUGAAAUGCAUUGAGAUCGGAAAGAACACCAACGGCGAAAGCACUCUGCUGGGCCGACACUGACACUGAGAGACGAAAGCUAGGGGAGCAAAUGGG